GGUCAUAAUUGCACGAGUCCUGGGAGAGAGACCCCAUCUGGCUUAGUCCCGCCCAUAUCUGAACAACAGGCCAAUUGUUGUUCAUGUGGCCGCUCAGCCUUAGCCGGUUUGUCUGAUAUGCCUGAUGUGAACAGAACGGCUAUGUACAAUGCUAUGUCUGGCGUCAACAGAUCUUGACUGCAUAUUUAACACGUCCAAUUGCCCGAUUGCGUAAUGCUUCCUCUCCAGCAAUGCCGAUCCCUGCACUGAUUGAGGAGAACAAAGCUAACCCACGCCCC